rnacentral:rRNA from 1 species
AUGACCCAGAACAUGGUGUGGCUGACGAUGAAAUUCCUGAUAUGGAAUAAUUCUGCACAGUUAUUGGUGGAGAAGCUUGUUGGUCCUGAUGUGAAUACAAUGUUAUAUCUGCCCUACUCUCUUAAAAAAUCAAAAGUUGAAUUCCAGCUACAUCAACCUUAUCAUGGGUCUGUUCUUAGCAUUGGUUUGAACAACAAAAGGAUGCCUUGCUUAUCUGUUUCGAGCUUAUGCGGCCUGCAGGAUAUCUGUUUGGGAGGUGUUGACAGCCUUGCUUUUGGGGGCCAAUUGAAAAUAAACGAGUCCAAUUCAUGGUUCAGUGUUUCUGCUGGGUUGUCAGUCCGUGCUGAAUUGUUCAGUGCUGGCCUAACUUUUAAACAACCUGGUCAGUUUGAUUAUACUUUCUGCAGCAAUAUUCUCAAUACAAGCACUGUAUUAGGUGGCCUGGCUAGCUAUAGCUAUCUGACCAAUCAAUGGAAAUUGAUUGGCGGAAUUGGUCACACUUUUGACCCCACCUUGAAUAUCAAAGGGCGUAUUGGUAAUGAUAAAACUGUCAAUGCUCUUAUCUCUAAGAAGUUCGCUGGCAAAGGCAGUCUUCAUUUUGCAUCGGAGGUUGAUUUAAAGGAUUUUUGGAGAUAUCCUCGGGUUGGUUUGUCAUUUUUGUUUCCUUAG